AAGUCUGCAUGUUGAGCUACCACAGCCCCUAAGCUGUGGCUCUGUGUGUCCAGAUCAGCU
rnacentral:miRNA from 1 species